rnacentral:rRNA from 1 species
UGGGGAAUAUUGGACAAUGGGCGAAAGCCUGAUCCAGCAAUGCCGCGUGAGUGAUGAAGGCCUUAGGGUUGUAAAGCUCUUUUACCAGGGAUGAUAAUGACAGUACCGGGAGAAUAAGCCCCGGCUAACUCCGUG